UACGAAGGGGGCUAGCGUUGUUCGGAUUUACUGGGCGUAAAGCGCACGUAGGCGGAUUGGUCAGUUAGGGGUGAAAUCCCAGAGCUCAACUCUGGAACUGCCUUUAAUACUGCCAAUCUAGAGUCCGGAAGAGGUAAGUGGAACUCCUAGUGUAGAGGUGGAAUUCGUAGAUAUUAGGAAGAACACCAGUGGCGAAGGCGGCUUACUGGUCCGGUACUGACGCUGAGGUGCGAAAGCGUGGGGAGCAAACAGG
rnacentral:rRNA from 1 species